UUGUUCCUGGUCCUCAGUCUUUCACCAUCAAGUUUGAUGCUACCUGUAGUUCUGCGUGCAUUUUGUAGAUGCUUAGUAUCAAGCUGAUCCCAAGGUCACCAGGCAAUCCGCCUUCUUCUUUUCCUGUGCUGGCUUGUUUUGUCAUGACCAGGGACUUUUGGUCCUAAGAGGAAACCAAGAGCAAAGGGGCAGCUCCAUCUUGACUGGCACUAGAAGACUCUCUGGUGCUCGCUCUCUCCUGGCCACGUGACGAAGAAGCCCGCUUCCCCCUCGCCUUCCACCAGGAUUAGCUCAGAAGAACACGAACUGUGGACCCCGAGGUGAAGCAUGCAGGCCGGGAUUCCACUCAGGCCCCUGCCCUGGCACCAAGUCC